rnacentral:rRNA from 1 species
GCCAACGUUCAUAUCACGUUGAAUACACCAGUUCUCGUCCGAUCACUGAAGUUAAGCAACGUCGAGCGGUAUCGGUAGGUA